rnacentral:rRNA from 1 species
AACGAACGCUGGCGGCAUGCCUAACACAUGCCAGUCGAACGAGACCUUCGGGUCUAGUGGCGCACGGGUGCGUAACGCGUGGGAACCUGCCCUUAGGUUCGGAAUAACUCCCCGAAAGGGGUGCUAAUACCGGAUAAUGUCUUCGGACCAAAGAUUUAUCGCCUUUGGAUGGGCCCGCGUUGGAUUAGCUAGUUGGUAGGGUAAAAGCCUACCAAGGCGACGAUCCAUAGCUGGUCUGAGAGGAUGAUCAGCCACACUGGGACUGAGACACGGCCCAGACUCCUACGGGAGGCAGCAGUGGGGUAUAUUGGACAAUGGGCGAAAGCCUGAUCCAGCAAUGCCGCGUGAGUGAUGAAGGCCUUAGGGUUGUAAAGCUCUUUUACCCGGGAUGAUAAUGACAGUACCGGGAGAAUAAGCUCCGGCUAACUCCGUG